UACUCGAGUGGCGAACGGGUGUGUAACACGUGGGUGAUCUGCCCUGCACUUCGGGAUAAGCUUGGGAAACUGGGUCUAAUACCGGAUAGGACCGCACUUUAGUGUGUGUGGUGGAAAGUUUUUUCGGUGUAGGAUGAGCCCGCGGCCUAUCAGCUUGUUGGUGGGGUAAUGGCCUACCAAGGCGGCGACGGGUAGCCGGCCUGAGAGGGUGUACGGCCACAUUGGGACUGAGAUACGGCCCAG
rnacentral:rRNA from 1 species